rnacentral:rRNA from 1 species
UACGUAGGGUGCAAGCGUUAAUCGGAAUUACUGGGCGUAAAGGGUGCGCAGGCGGUUCUGUAAGUCAGAUGUGAAAUCCCCCGGGCUUAACCUGGGAAUUGCGUUUGAAACUACAGAGCUGGAGUGUGGCAGAGGGGGGGUGGAAUUCCAUGUGUAGCAGUGAAAUGCGUAGAGAUAUGGAAGAACAUCGAUGGCGAAGGCAACCCCCUGGGUUAACACUGACGCUCAUGCACGAAAGCGUGGGGAGCAAACAGG